GUCCCCUUCGUCUAGUGGCCUAGGACACCGCCCUUUCACGGCGGUAACACCGGUUCGAACCCGGUAGGGGACGCCA
rnacentral:tRNA from 1 species